GAACGCAGCGCCAGCUUUCAUCUAACUGCCGAAGGGGCCGCGUGGCCCCUUCAGCAGUUAGGCUGCUUCUGAACUCCCGAACAGAGCGAGGCUCCAUUCGGGAGCCAGACCACGCCCCCCGCGUCUGACGUCAGACACAGGGGCGUGGCUAUCCCCCAUGUCUGACAUCAGAUGCAGGGGGUGGGGCUAUCGGGGCACCUGCCGUGGGCGCACACAGGCCGCCGGCGGGCUGGCUACGCCCCUGCUCUGGGCAUCUUGAUGGGGGACAGUUACAGCAGGCUAUGGGCAAAUUGUUCACUCAGAGCUUCUUGUGGUUCUACAACUCUAAUCUGCCCUGCUUGAUGACACUCUCUCAGAUUCCACUUUGUGCCUUAAACCUUCUGCUUUAAAGUCUGCAGGAUAUUGACAGAACACACUGAUGAAAUGCCUUUACUAAAAGCAGCUAGACAUCGUUACAACCCAUUGCUGAUAGUUUAAUUUUAAAGAUGUGGCUAUUGUAAUUUUUAAUAUAUUGCAUAAAACACAUAAUGUUUAAUCAAAA